rnacentral:lncRNA from 10 species
CAUGAAACUUAUAGCAGAAAUUAUUGCUGAAGAAAUGUUACAAAAUACUGUGUACUAUUUAAAACAUUAUUCACACUUUAAAUUUAGCCUUUCAGUUAGAACCUCCUUCUUCCAGUAAUCCACCAAAGUGAUGAACACAAAGGUAAAGAGGAGGAGAAGCACCCAAUAUAUGUUCUCUAGGCUUUUUAGAAAAUAUGGAGGUGCUCCUUUGGCCAUAUACAUGUGAACCUGUAAGAAUGGUGAUACUGCAGACAUCAAAGAAUGCAUACUGUUCAAAAAGGAAUGCCCCACAAAUGUUACCAGGGAAAAACUGGAAUAUUCUACAAUGUACCCAGCAUGCUGUUGGCAUUGUUAUAAAUAAACAAGUUAAGAACAAGAUUCUUGCCAAGAUAAUUAACGUGCAUGUUGAGCAUAUUAAGUGCUCUGACAACCGAGAUAACUUUUUGAAAUGCAGGAAGGAAAAUGAUCAGAAAAAGAAGGAAGCAAAAGAGAAAGGUAUGUGAGUUCAACUGAAGUGCCAGCCUGCUCUACCCAAAGAAGUAUACUUUCUGAGACCUAGUGCAAAGCCUGAGCUGCUGGAACCUAUUUCCUGUGAAUUCAUGGCAUAAUAGGUGUAAAAAAAAAUAGAAGACCUUUUGACUAUAAACAAACAAACUGAAAAAUAUAUAUGUCUAGACAAAACACUUUAAAAGCCCUUUACAAGGGAAUAUCCAAAUGGGAAAUAAACGUAAGAAAAGGUGAUCAACUUUAUUAUUUAUCAGGUAAGUGCAAAUUCAAAUCACAUUACAAUUCUGCUGCAUAUUCACAAUUGCUAAAAUGAAAAAAUGAGAAAAGGAAAAAAGGUAGACAUAUGGAGCAACUAAAAAUCCACACACUGCUGGUUGUACAGUAAUUUAUUCUAUCAUUUGGCAGCGUUUACUAGAGGAGAGCAUAUCCAUAACCAGCCAUUUAACUUCUAAGUAUAUUCCUAACAGAAAUGCACAUACAUGUUCAAAUGACAUGCACAGGAAUAUAAGUAAUAGUCUUAGUCAUAAUGGUAGAAUAUUGGCAACUACCAUAGGUAAAAUAUAGGAAUAAAUUUUCAACUCUUUAUCAACUAGAAUACUGUAGAACAAUGAAAGUGAAUGAACUACAACUACAAGCAACAUUAUGAAUGUAUCUCACAACAUAUGGUUGAAUCAAUAAAAUCCAAUCUUUAUUUGUAUGCUUCUCAGGAUAAAAUGUUUUUGAAAAUCUAAUAUAAUAUAUGGCAUUAAAAGGAGAAUGGAGGUUACCCUUCAGGCACAAUGAAUAAAAGGGUGCAUUAAAGGGACUUCUGGAGUGCUGUCAAUGUUCUGCUUUUUGAUCUAGGUGCUGGUUGCAUGGGGGAAUUUAAAUUGUAAAAAGUCAUCAAACCAUACACGUAUGAUUUCUCAACUUUUCUAUAUAUUAUACCUCAAAAAUUCAAAAAUGAAUGAAAAUUUUCUUAUAAUUAAACUAUGGAAAUAUAAAUGCAGUGAACUUAUUGGAACACUUCUUUUUUAUACAUACUGAUUAACAAAAAGAAUUUUCUAUGUUUUUAAUUAUCAUUUUGCAAAAAAUCAAGUGAAGAUUAUUUUGUCUUCUCUUUGCUUUCCAGAUUCUUAAGCAUUUCAAUUAAACAUCAUUGGGCAGGGGGUAUAUGGGCAAGGAGUAUGUGAGGUUGCAUUUGGCACAAAGAAAAUCUUAAUAAAUUAUAAAUAUUCAAUGUUUUAAUUUAGACCACGUUUUACAACCAUAAUAAAGUUAGAAAUUAAAAGUUCCAAUGAGUCAAAUGUAAGAGUACACAAAAAUUUAUAAAACUUAUUCAAAACAAAUAAAAUAAACAUUAAAUUACUAACAUUUAAGAAAAUUAAAUCAAUGAAAAAAAUGUGUACAAGAAAAAGAAGAUCAAUAAUGUCUCAGACCUAAAAAUCUAGAAAUCAGCCUUUGGCUCCCCCUUUCUGUCACACCUACAUACCUAGUCUAGCAACAAUUUUGCUAGACCAGGGUUUCUCAAGCGCAACACCAUUGAAAUUUUGGGCUGGAUGAUUCUUUGUAUUAGGAGUUGUCUUGUGCUUUGUAGAAUGGCUAACAUCAUUCCUGGCAUCUACCAUCUAGAUGCCAGUUGUACCACCUCCAUCCCUGGUUGUGACAAUCAAAAAGGUCUCCAUAUAUUGCCAGAUGUUCUCUAGGCACAAAAUAAACCAAUUUGAAAUGAUGGCAUUAGACCCUACCUCUUUAUUUUGAAUCCUUCCAUUUCUUUUCCAUUCCACUCCUAACUCCCUGUUCAAAGUCAGUGUCUUCUCUUGUAUGAACUAUUAAAGCAAUUUCUCUUUGUUUUCAAUCAUGGUUCUUUAUGAUUCAUUCUUCACACAGCAGCCAUAUAAAUAUAUUUUGUCACUUUUCAAUGGCUUCACUGGGGACUUAAAAUAAAUAUUAAACUUUUCACCUAUGGCUACGAGGCCUGAAUUACUUGGCAUCUCUUCAUCUUUCUGGACUUAUGUUCUGCCUUUCUUACCCAAUCUCAUGACAUUUUCGACAUCUGGAAUUUCUUCACUUUUUCUAUGUUAACUUAGCUCAUUUUCAUCUUUGGCUCUUUUGCAGGUCUCUGCCUGGAAUGCUCUUCUGGAAUGUUGCAUCACUCACCUUUCAGUUCAAAAUUAAACAUUGUCUUCUCAAAUAGUCUUUCUCUGAUCACAAGCUCUAAAUCAGUCACAUUUUAAAUUUCUUCAAACUCAAAGCAUUUUAAUUAUCUUCAUAGUAGUUAUUAUAUUUUCUUUAUUAUUAUUUGCUAUCCCUCAAAUAAAAAAAUAAAAAGGUCAGACUCAUGAAGAUCAGAGAGAUCUGACCAAUAAGAAAGGUUACUAGAAAUUCAAUGGAUGCAGGCAAUCGCAUGAUCAAGGAAGAGCAUGUCUAAAACAGUCUAAAACCAUCAGCAUAUCUCAUAUGUCUUCUUUCAUUGGGGACAUUGGAUUGAGAUUUAACAUACGAGGUUUAAAGCAAUGCAUGUGAAGCAUCAUUUAUACAAAAGUAACUGUAUUGGUCAUAAAACAUAUCCAUUUUAUACCCAAUAAUUACAUGAGAUGUAAUAUUUUCCAGCAUACUUUGCUCCAUAAUUCCAUCAAUUCCAAAUUUAUAUUUUAUAAGCAACUAGAGCAGGUCCUGAGAAAAGCAUUCCACAGAUAAAGACUCUAUUUCCUUCUGGUAAAUACCAUCAGAGGGUCUGAUAACAUGUUGUCAAGAUGACUUGACCUGAACAUUUUUCUUUUUCUGACUGCAUGUAUGUCCUCAUGGGAAUGGUGAUAAGCUGUAGGCCAGCUACUAACCCUUUUCUUCCUACUCCAAAUACACUCCCCAUCUCCCAACACAAACCCACUUUUUCAGAGCAAGUACUUUCAGAGACGUCACUUCUGUAUCUCCUGUACCUAAAACUACACCUAGCACUUAGUAGCUUAUGAAGUUUAUAAAUAAAUAAACAAAAAGUUACAAGAAAAUCUAAUGCUCAUUGAUGAUGCAAGAUAAAAUUUCAUUUAAUUAUAAUAUAAUACUAGAAUUAUUCAGAAAUAAAAUAGCAAUAAAGAGAUCUUAACAUGCCUCUAUCAAAAUUAAAAACAUAAAUAUAAAUUAUUGGCAUAUAAGAAUAAAAUAUGAUUAGUAAGACUGUUCUAGCAUAAACAUGCUCUCUCACAUACAGAAACAGACACGUAUGUCAAACCACUUGUGUGCUGGAGCCAGCUCAUAGCUUGUAAGAGCCAACUGUUUUAUUAAUUUUGUGUCAGUUGUUAAAUACAGUUGUUACUAUGAAAAUUAUAAAACAUAAAACUAAAUAAAUAAUUUAAAAAAUAAAAGUAAUAAAAAUGGAAAAACAUCACUUUCUAAUUAGUUUACUGCAUUGUACUAUUAUCUAUGCCUUCAAGUUUAUGUUUAUUGUAUCUUUGGGGUGGAAUUACUAGAUAAUUGUGUAUUACUACUCAUUUCUUUCUAACUCCACAUUUAAUUACAUUACUUUGGGAGUGUAAGAUUGGCCACAGUAAGAGUAUUUAUGCCAUAAAUAUUUUAAAAAUGCUACAAAUUAGGCUUUUUCAUUUUGUGAUGAGAGCUAGUUGUUAAAUAAACAUUUACCAGCACAUCAUUAUACCAAACUGUAUAAUAAUAUAAAGAGGAAAAAAUAGAGCAGGUGAACAGAAAAAUGGACCAAAAAAUAAAAAAAGGUUAGAAAAAAAAGAACUAUAAAAGGUUAAUGAAAUAGAGAUUGAUAAACUAAUGUCAAUUAACUUUUUUCUUAAUAACAGAAACUGUGUUGUUUGGGACAGUGAUGGCACCAGCUGGAUAUGAUUCUCAGGUUCCCUUGAAAUUAGGGAUGGCCUUAUGAUAGUUCUUGUCCAUCAGGCAUAAGCAGAAAUGUUGGCCAUUUGGGAAAAGCUUCAGUUUUAUCAGCAGAUAUACAUUCAUACUUUGAGGCGGCUGGCAAGAUGGCGGAAUAGAAACAGCUUCGGUCUGCAGCUCCCAGCGAGAUCAACCCAGAAGGCGGGUGAUUUCUGCAUUUCCAACUGAGGUACUUGCUUUGUUCUUGAGAGUUUGAAGCUUACAUUGUCUAAAAAGUUGGGAUUCAAAGUGACAGUUGAUCCUGACUCACACGUCAAAAUAAUUCAAGAGAUUUCCUUAAGCUCUAUCGUGCUUUAAAAUCAACAUGCCUGGGAAUGUAAAUUAGUAUCGUC